GUCCCCGCCCCCUGCUGGGCCUCUCUCCGCAGCCGCGAGACCCGCGCUUGGCGCAUAGGCCGGUUCUAAUUUACAAGAACACCGCGGCCUGAGGCCGGAGAGUCCCUUCAACCCGGGAGGCGGCGGCUGCAGGGAGCCGAGACGGCGCCAUUGCCCUCCAGCCUGGGCAAAAAGAGCGAAACUCCGUCUCAAAAAAAAAAAAACAUGGCCGAAACCAGGAAGCUGCGCGAUGGCGCCACGGCCCCUCUUCUCCCGGCCUGUGUCCGGAAGGUUUCCCUCCGAGGCGCCCCGGCUCCCGCAAGCGGAGGAGAGGGCGGGACGUGCCGGGGCCGGAGCUCAGAGGCCCUGGGGCCGCUCUGCUCUCCCGCCAUCGCAAGGGCGGCGCUGACCUGAGGCCUCCCCGCAAAGGUCCCCGAGGCGGCGGCGGCGGCGGGCUGUGAGAACCGCAGAAGAACGCUGGGCGCGCAGCGACCCGUCCACCCCCGCGAGGAGAGACUUCCACAGAGGCAGCGUUUCCACAGCCCAAAGCCACGUUUCUAGGGUGAUGCAGCCCCAGUAAGUUCCUGGCGGGGAAGCUCACGGCUGUCAAAAGAACUCUUCGCUCCAGCCGGCGCACGAAGGGGAGGAGGGCAGGAGGCUGCCGCCCGCACAGGUCAUCUGAUCACGUCGCCCGCCCUAGUCUGCUUUUGUGAAUCUCCACUUUGUUCAACCCCCACCCGCCGUCUCUCCCUCCCUGCGCCUUCCCUCUAACCUUAAAGACCCAGCUACCUCUACGCAAAUGGUAGCUACCUCUGCGCAGGUGGAAGUUGAGUUCGGUUCACGCGGGACCCUCUUCCCUGUGGCAAGCUGCUGAAGGAGACCUGCUGUUACUGCUUUAGCUGCUGUUCUGCUUAAUCUCAGACAGCUGGAAGGUAGUAUUCCGCCCUCGCCCAGCCACCCGAGUAAAUGAGAAUGAUGACUGACUGAGACCCUGAUGGUGGUGGCUUAGGCUUAAUCUCAGACAGCUGGAAGGUAGUAUUCCGCCCUCACCCAGCCACCCGAGUAAAUGAGAAUGAUGACUGACUGAGACCCUGAUGGUGGUGGCUUAGGCAAGAUGAACGUCUGAAAUGGAGGCCCAGGGCUGCCACGAUGGCUCUGUAGUCAUCAGGGAGGGAGCUCCUUUUAUCUUGUUACCUACUCCCCUCUUGUGCCCCUUUCUUCCCUUGAUCUAAGAAGGUUGCUCCGGAUCUCGCCAUCUGGCCUGCGUUCAAUCAGCAGAAGCUUCCUGGAGGAGCAGGAGGAGGCACUGUGCUCGCAUCACAUACCAGUGGCCAGAAGUUGGCUUCAGGGAAGCUCAGGAAAUAGGAUGCGAGAAGCCAUGAGACCUCCCCAAACUCUGCAGUAACAGAGUCAACAAGACAAUGGCUUAAAGAUGGAGAGACCAGUUGAUCGGUCACACAAGCUGUUCCACGAUAAUUCUUGUGUCAGAAGGGGAGGCUGACUACCAGGACCACUGGCCCCACUUCCAGCCCCUCCAUUCUGAGUACACUUCAGAGGGCUCUGGCAGGGUGAGGGGGUCUUGGUGGUGCCACAGAGAGUAAAGGUCUAGCACACCCAUUGUGGAGAUAUUUCAUGGGGACAACCCAGUGACUUCACUUGAAGUAAAGUGGGAUUUUCCAACCUUGAG
rnacentral:lncRNA from 1 species